CGGGGUGCACCAGGCGCGAAAACUUUACAAUGCUGGCAACAGCGAUAAGGGGACCUCGAGUGCCAGGAUACAAUCUUGGCUGUCGUGAUGCCUAAAAAGCAUUGCAUAGCAAGGGCCGGGCAAGACCGGUGCCAGCCGCCGCGGUAACACCGGCGGCUCGAGUGGUAACCGCUAUUAUUGGGUCUAAAGGGUCUGUAGCCGGCCGGAUAAGUCUCUUGGGAAAUCCGACAGCUCAACUGUCGGGCUUUCAGGGGAUACUGUUCGGCUCGAGGCCGGGAGAGGUGAGAGGUACUUCAGGGGUAGGGGUGAAAUCUUGUAAUCCUUGAAGGACCACCAGUGGCGAAGGCGUCUCACCAGAACGGUCCUGACGGCAAGGGACGAAAGCUAGGGGCACGAACCGGAUUAGAUACCCGGGUAGUCCUAGCCGUAAACGAUACUCGCUAGGUGUCGGCCACGGUGCGACCGUGGUCGGUGCCGUAGGGAAGCCGUGAAGCGAGCCACCUGGGAAGUACGGCCGCAAGGCUGAAACUUAAAGGAAUUGGC
rnacentral:rRNA from 1 species